GCCGAUAUAGCUCAGUUGGGAGAGCGUUAGACUGAAAUUGUUUACGCAACAGUCAUCUAAAGGCCCCCGGUUCAAUCCCGGGUUCCGGCA
rnacentral:tRNA from 1 species